rnacentral:tRNA from 1 species
GGGCCGGUAGAUCAGCCUGGAAGAUCGCCUGCUUUGCAAGCAGGAGGCCCCGGGUUCAAAUCCCGGCCGGUCCA